rnacentral:lncRNA from 10 species
CUGAGGAAGAAGAGGUCAGAGUUCUGGAAUCAGAAAGAGCAAGUAGGAAGGGUGCUGCACCUAAGGACUCUAGAUCCUUGGUUUGGGACUGGGCCUCACACAUGUAAUGUGAGGCUCUUGAGACUGAGGAGGACUGCUGUUCGGUCAGGAUCAGAAGGAAUAUGCUAGAGUUCAAGCCACCAUGCAAGAUCCGUGAGCAACUCCUUAGGUGAAUUGUGAAAGACAGCCAGGAUUCCUUCAACCUACACAGUGACCAACCUCAUCUCCUCCAAAUUUCAGGUUGUGCUGCAGCCUAAUCAAUCAGCAAUCUGAAUAAAAAUAAAACUGGAAAGUUAUCCUUUCCAAUCAC